AUUGAACGCUGGCGGCAGGCCUAACACAUGCAAGUCGAGCGGAUGAAGGGAGCUUGCUCCUGGAUUCAGCGGCGGACGGGUGAGUAAUGCCUAGGAAUCUGCCUGGUAGUGGGGGAUAACGUCCGGAAACGGGCGCUAAUACCGCAUACGUCCUGAGGGAGAAAGUGGGGGAUCUUCGGACCUCACGCUCUCAGAUGAGCCUAGGUCGGGUUAGCUAGUUGGUGGGGUAAAGGCCUACCAAGGCGACGAUCCGUAACUGGUCUGAGAGGAUGAUCAGUCACACUGGAACUGGGACACGGUCCAGACUCCUACGGGAGGCAGCAGUGGGGAAUAUUGGACAAUGGGCGAAAGCCUGAUCCAGCCAUGCCGCGUGUGUGAAGAAGGUCUUCGGAUUGUAAAGCACUUUAAGUUGGGAGGAAGGGCAGUAUGUUAAUACCUUGCUGUUUUGACGUUACCAACAGAAUAAGCACCGGCUAACUUCGUG
rnacentral:rRNA from 1 species